GGAGAGGUGGCAGAGCUGGUCGAAUGCGCCGGUUUGCUAAACCGGUGUAGGGCAACCUACCGAGGGUUCGAAUCCCUCCCUCUCCGCCA
rnacentral:tRNA from 1 species